UACGUAGGUGACCAGCGUUGUCCGGAUUUACUGGGCGUAAAGAGCGCGCAGGCGGUCGUUCAAGUCGAGUGUGAAAGCCCCCGGCUCAACUGGGGAGGGUCACUCGAUACUGAUCGACUCGAAGGCAGGAGAGGGAAGUGGAAUUCCUGGUGUAGCGGUGAAAUGCGCAGAUAUCAGGAGGAACACCGGUGGCGAAGGCGGUUCUCUGGGCAUUACCUGACGCUGAGGAGCGAAAGUGUGGGGAGCGAACAGG
rnacentral:rRNA from 1 species